GCUGAGGCAAAAGGAUUGCUUAAGCCCAGAAUUUUGAAACAAGCCUGGGAAACAUGGUGAGACCUUGUUUCUACUAAAAAUAAAAAAAAUAGCCAGGUAUGAUGGUACACUAAUGCAUGCCUGUUGUCCCAGCCACCUUGGAGGCCAAGGUAAAAAGAUCUGGGAAAGUGCUGGGAUUAUUGGCAUGAGCCACCACAUCUGGCCAGUUAUAUAUGCCUAGGAGUGAAAUUGUUGCAUUAUACAACGACUGUACAUUUAGCAUUUUGAGACACUGGAGCCCUCAUGCCCAGCCUGAUGCCAGGAGUUUUAGACCAGCCUUGGCAACCUAGCAAGACCUCAUCUCUGCAGAAUAUUUAAAAAUUAGCCAGAUGUGGUGGUGUGGUGGUGCCUGCCUUAUAGUCCGCAAUGGUGCAGUCAUAGCUCAUUGCAGCAUCAACUGCCUGGUCUCCAGUGGUCCUCCCACCUCAGCCUCCGUAGUAGCUGAGACUACAUGCUUGCACCACCACAUCUGGCUAAUUUCUUUUAUUUUUUUUUUGUAGAGAUGGGGUCUUGUUGUGUUGCCCAGGCUGGCCACAAAUUCCUGGGCUCAAGUGAUCCUCCCACCUCAGCCUCUUAAAGUGCUGGGAUUACAGAUGUGAGCCACCAUAUCUGGCCAGUUCAUUUCCUAUUACUGGUUCAUUGUAAAGGAUACAUCUCAGAAACAGCCAAUGAAAGAGACGUACUUUCCGGAUGCGGUGGCUCAUGUCUGUAAUUCCAGCACUUUGGGAGGCUGAGGUGGGAGGAUUACUUAAACUCAGGAGUUUAAGAUCAGCCUGGGCAACAUGGUGAAAACUCAUCUCUACAAAAAAUUAGAAAAAUAGAAAUAAAUAACCGGGUGCAGUGUUGUGCAUCUAUUAUUCCAGCUACUAGGGAAGGUGAGCCGAGAGGAUGCCUUGAGCUGGGGACUGGGGAGGCUUAGGUUGCUGUGAGCUGAGAUUGUGCCACUGCACUCCAGCCUGGACAAAAGAGCCAGACCCUGUCUCAAAAGAAAAGAAAGAUGCCCAGGGCAAGGUAAGUUAGGAGGGGCACAGAGCUCCGAUGUCCUCUGUUGAACAUGCCACCUUGCCAACAUCUCCUGUGUUCAGCAACCCCAGAAGCUCUGCAAACCCCAUUCAGGGUGUUUAUGGAGGCUUUAUUAUGCAAGCAUGAUUGGUAAAAUCUUUGGCCGUUGGUGAUUAAGUCAAUCUUCAGCCCCUCUUCCUCCUGGAGUUCAGUGCAUGAGGCUGAAAGUUCCAAGCCUCUAAUCAUGUGAUUGCCCCCAAAGUUCUUAGAGGCUCUUGUGUUAGAAACCUGGGACCAAGACUAAAUAUUAAAAACAAAAGAUGCUCCUAUCAUGUCUAUCACUGAGGUCUUUGUAAGAGCUUUGGAAGCUCUGUGCCAGGAACCAGGGACAGAGAUUAAAUAUGUAUUUAUUUUCUUUUUUUGAGACAGAAUCUCCCCGUGUCAUCCAGACUGGAAUGCAGUA
rnacentral:lncRNA from 1 species